ACGUAAUAGAUACCCAGGUAGUCCACGCCCUAAACGAUGUCUACUAGUUGUUGGUGGAGUAAAAUCCAUGAGUAAACGCAGCUAAACGCGUGAAGUAGACCGCCUGGGGAGUACGGUCGCAAGAUUAAAAACUCAAAGGAAUUGACGGGGGCCCGCACAAGCGGUGGAUUAUGUGGAUUAAAUUCGAUGCAACGCGAAAAACCUUACCUGGCCUUGACAUGCCACUAACGAAGCAGAGAUGCAUUAGGUGCCCGUAAGGGAAAGUGGACACAGGUGCUGCAUGGCUGUCGUCAGCUCGUGUCGUGAGAUGUUGGGUUAAGUCCCGCAACGAGCGCAACCCUUGCCAUUAAUUGCCAUCAUUUAGUUGGGCACUUUAAUGGGACUGCCGGUGACAAACCGGAGGAAGGUGGGGGAUGACGUCAAGUCCUCAUGGCCCUUAUGGCCAGGGCUUCACACGUAAUACAAUGGUCGGUACAGAGAGUUGCCAACCCGCGAGGGGAGCUAAUCUCAGAAAGCCGAUCGUAGUCCGGAUUG
rnacentral:rRNA from 1 species